AUACGGAGGGUGCGAGCGUUGUUCGGAAUUAUUGGGCGUAAAGAGCAUGUAGGCGGUCUGUUAAGUCUGGUGUGAAAGCCCGGGGCUCAACCCCGGAAGUGCAUUGGAUACUGGCAGACUUGAGUAUGGGAGAGGAAAGCGGAAUUCCGAGUGUAGGAGUGAAAUCCGUAGAUAUUCGGAGGAACACCAGUGGUGAAGGCGGCUUUCUGGACCAAUACUGACGCUGAGAUGCGAAAGCGUGGGGAGCGAACAGGAUUAGAAACCCCAGUAGUCC
rnacentral:rRNA from 1 species